UGGGGAAUCUUGCGCAAUGGGCGAAAGCCUGACGCAGCGACGCCGCGUGCGGGAAGAAGGCCUUCGGGUUGUAAACCGCUUUCAGGAGGGACGAAGCCGACUCGGGUUAAUAGCCCAGAGGGUGACGGUACCUCCAGAAGAAGCCCCGGCUAACUACGUGCCAGCAGCCGCGGUAAUACGUAGGGGGCUAGCGUUGUCCGGAUUUAUUGGGCGUAAAGAGCGCGUAGGCGGCCGAGUAAGUCCGACGUGAAAUCUGGAGGCUCAACCUCCAGCGGUCGUUGGAAACUACUCGGCUAGAGUCCGGAAGAGGAGAGUGGAAUUCCUGGUGUAGCGGUGAAAUGCGCAGAUAUCAGGAAGAACACCGAUGGCGAAAGCAGCUCUCUGGGACGGUACUGACGCUGAGGCGCGAAAGCGUGGGGGAGCGGAACAGGAUUAGGAUACCCUGGUAGUCCGACGCCGUAAACGAUGGGUGCUAGGUGUGGGCGGUGUCGACUCCGCCCGUGCCGAAGCUAACG
rnacentral:rRNA from 1 species